rnacentral:rRNA from 1 species
GACGAACGCUGGCGGCGUGCUUAACACAUGCAAGUCGAACGGUAAGGCCCUUCGGGGUACACGAGUGGCGAACGGGCGAGUAACACGUGGGUGAUCUGCCCUGCACUUCGGGAUAAGCCUGGGAAACUGGGUCUAAUACCGGAUAGGACCACUGCCUGCAUGGGUGGUGGUGGAAAGCUUCUGCGGUGUGGGAUGGGCCCGCGGCCUAUCCGCUUGUUGGUGGGGUGAUGGCCUACCAAGGCGACGACGGGUAGCCGGCCUGAGAGGGUGACCGGCCACACUGGGACUGAGAUACGGCCCAGACUCCUACGGGAGGCAGCAGUGGGGAAUAUUGCACAAUGGGCGCAAGCCUGAUGCAGCGACGCCGCGUGAGGGAUGACGGCCUUCGGGUUGUAAACCUCUUUCAGCACCGACGAAGCGCAAGUGACGGUAGGUGCAGAAGAAGGACCGGCCAACUACGUGCCAGCCGCCGCCGUAA